rnacentral:sRNA from 1 species
CCUCGGUGACCUGCUGCGGGCAGAUGAAGUGCACGUGCGCGUCGACGGCGCCGGCGGUCAGGAUGAGCCCCUCGCCCGCGACGACCUCCGUGCUCGCGCCGACGACGAGGGCCGGGUGCACGCCCGCCAUGACGUCUGGGUUGCCCGCCUUGCCGAGGCCCGCGAUGCGCCCGCGCACGAUGCCGACGUCCGCCUUGAAGAUGCCGGCGUGGUCGACGACGAGCGCGUUCGUGAUGAGCAGGUCGAGCGUCUCGGCGCUGCUGCGGCCCGUCGCCUGCCCCAUGCCCUCGCGGAUG